rnacentral:rRNA from 1 species
UUUGAUCCUGGCUCAGAUUGAACGCUGGCGGAAUGCUUUACACAUGCAAGUCGAGCGGCAGCGCGGGGCAACCCUGGCGGCGAGCGGCGAACGGGUGAGUAAUACAUCGGAACGUACCCUGUCGUGGGGGAUAACUAACCGAAAGGUUAGCUAAUACCGCAUACGACCUGAGGGUGAAAGCGGGGGAUCGCAAGACCUCGCGCGAUAGGAGCGGCCGAUGUCAGAUUAGCUAGUUGGUGAGGUAAAGGCUCACCAAGGCGACGAUCUGUAGCGGGUCUGAGAGGACGGCCCGCCGCACUGGAACUGAGACACGGUCCAGACUCCUACGGGAGGCAGCAGUGGGGAAUUUUGGACAAUGGGGGCAACCCUGAUCCAGCCAUUCCGCGUGAGUGAAGAAGGCCUUCGGGUUGUAAAGCUCUUUCGGCAGGAACGAAACGGUCCUAGUUAAUAACUGGGGCUAAUGACGGUACCUGAAGAAGAAGCACCGGCUAACUACGUGCCAGCAGCCGCGGUAAUACGUAGGGUGCGAGCGUUAAUCGGAAUUACUGGGCGUAAAGCGUGCGCAGGCGGUUUUGUAAGACAGAUGUGAAAUCCCCGGGCUUAACCUGGGAACUGCGUUUGUGACUGCAAGACUUGAGUGUGGCAGAGGGGGGUGGAAUUCCACGUGUAGCAGUGAAAUGCGUAGAGAUGUGGAGGAACACCGAUGGCGAAGGCAGCCCCCUGGGUCGACACUGACGCUCAUGCACGAAAGCGUGGGUAGCAAACAGGAUUAGAUACCCUGGUAGUCCACGCCCUAAACGAUGCGAACUAGGUGUUGGAGAAGGAGACUUGUUUAGUACCGCAGCUAACGCGUGAAGUUCGCCGCCUGGGGAGUACGGUCGCAAGAUUAAAACUCAAAGGAAUUGACGGGGACCCGCACAAGCGGUGGAUGAUGUGGAUUAAUUCGAUGCAACGCGAAAAACCUUACCUCCCUUGACAUGCCUGGAAUCCUGCUGAGAGGCGGGAGUGCUCGAAAGAGAACUGGGACACAGGUGCUG